UGCAACGGCUACUACGCACCGACCUCCGCGCGCGUCUGCCGCCGCGACUGCUUCGGCUUUUUGUUCCUCACUACCGCCGCCGCCGAGGCAAGCGCCACCGACGAUAUCGCUUUCCACUUUCCAACCCUAUCGGAGAUUCUAGAGAUCCAUGCGCCUACUUGCGCAGGAAGUCACUACAACAAUGUUCGAUCAGAAAAGGACACCCCUUGCCUUCUUGAUCCUCUCUGCCCUGUGAUUCCGAUGUCAGUGACUUUGGAGGUUGGAGCACCAAUGGAAGGAAUGCAAAUUACUCCCAGAACUGAAUUAAUGCGUGGAAUUUGUACUUCAUCAACCCAACCGUCCUUGUACUCGACGAUGUACGGGUUGCUGAGGCUCGCCAUCAGGGACAUCUGUGCAGCAAACAGCAAGCAAAGCAUCAAAAUCAAAUCAUCAAACCAAACCAUCUGUCCCGUCCUCCCAAACAUUCAAUCAGGAGAUGGGCCCUGCAAGAGGUGGGGUGUGAGGUAGCGCUCUGCGAAAGAGGAGAAAAUAAAAAAAAACGAUAUGGUUUUGGUUUGGCCAUUGCUUUCGCCAAUGUAGAAAGAGACCAGCGAACUGCCUGUAG
rnacentral:lncRNA from 1 species